GGUAGCUUAGGUGGUUAGAGCAUCCGCUUCGGAUGCGGGAAGUCGUGGGUUCGGGGCCCGUCAUACCA